CCUACGGGUGGCAGCAGUGAGGAAUAUUGGUCAAUGGGCGCAAGCCUGAACCAGCCAAGUCGCGUGAGGGAUGACGGCCCUACGGGUUGUAAACUUCUUUUAUAAGGGAAUAAAGUGAGGCACGUGUGCCUUUUUGUAUGUACUUUAUGAAUAAGGAUCGGCUAACUCCGUGCCAGCAGCCGCGGUAAUACGGAGGAUCCGAGCGUUAUCCGGAUUUAUUGGGUUUAAAGGGAGCGUAGGUGGGUUGUUAAGUCAGUGGUGAAAGUUUGUGGCUCAACCGUAAAAUUGCAAUUGAUACUGGCAGUCUGGAGUAUAGUUGAGGUAGGCGGAAUGCGUGGUGUAGCGGUGAAAUGCUUAGAUAUCACGAAGAACCCCGAUUGCGAAGGCAGCCUACCAAACUGUGACUGACACUGAUGCUCGAAAGUGUGGGUAUCAAACAGGAUUAGAUACCCGAGUAGUC
rnacentral:rRNA from 1 species